GGCUUAGAGUUUGAUCAUGGCUCAGGAUGAACGCUGGCGGCGUGCCUAACACAUGCAAGUCGAGCGAAGCACUUUGCUUUGAUUCUUUCGGGAUGAAGAGUGAUUUGACUGAGCGGCGGACGGGUGAGUAACGCGUGGGCAACCUGCCUCACACAGGGGGAUAACAGUUAGAAAUGACUGCUAAUACCGCAUAAGGCCACAGCACCGCAUGGUGCAGGGGUAAAAACUCCGGUGGUGUGAGAUGGGCCCGCGUCUGAUUAGCUAGUUGGUAAGGUAACGGCUUACCAAGGCGACGAUCAGUAGCCGACCUGAGAGGGUGACCGGCCACAUUGGGACUGAGACACGGCCCAAACUCCUACGGGAGGCAGCAGUGGGGAAUAUUUCACAAUGGGGGAAACCCUGAUGCAGCGACGCCGCGUGAGCGAAGAAGUAUUUCGGUAUGUAAAGCUCUAUCAGCAGGGAAGAAACUGACGGUACCUGACUAAGAAGCACCGGCUAAAUACGUGCCAGCAGCCGCGGUAAUACGUAUGGUGCAAGCGUUAUCCGGAUUUACUGGGUGUAAAGGGAGCGUAGACGGAUAGGCAAUUCUGGAGUGAAAGCCCGGGGCUCAACCCCGGGACUGCUUUGGAAACUGUUUAUCUAGAGUGCUGGAGAGGUAAGUG
rnacentral:rRNA from 1 species